rnacentral:rRNA from 1 species
UUUGGCGACCAUAUCACGUUGAAAAAACACCGGUUCUCGUCCGAUCACCGAAGUUAAGCAAUGAAGUGCGUCAGUGCUUCAGCGGAAGAACGCUCGUUAACGACGCCUCAC